rnacentral:piRNA from 1 species
AUGACGUCGAAGAGACCAUGUGUCGUAAU